CCUACGGGAUGCAGCAGUGGGGAAUAUUGGACAAUGGGCGAAAGCCUGAUCCAGCCAUGCCGCGUGUGUGAAGAAGGCCUUCGGGUUGUAAAGCACUUUCAGUGGGGAAGAAAGCCUGUGGGCUAAUACCCUCGAGGAAGGACAUCACCCACAGAAGAAGCACCGGCUAACUCCGUGCCAGCAGCCGCGGUAAUACGGAGGGUGCGAGCGUGAAUCGGAAUUACUGGGCGUAAAGCGCGCGUAGGCGGUCUGAUAAGCCGGUUGUGAAAGCCCCGGGCUCAACCUGGGAACGGCAUCCGGAACUGUCAGGCUAGAGUGCAGGAGAGGAAGGUAGAAUUCCCGGUGUAGCGGUGAAAUGCGUAGAGAUCGGGAGGAAUACCAGUGGCGAAGGCGGCCUUCUGGACUGACACUGACGCUGAGGUGCGAAAGCGUGGGUAGCAAACAGGAUUAGAUACCCCAGUAGUC
rnacentral:rRNA from 1 species